CCUACGGGGAGCAGCAGUGAGGAAUAUUGGUCAAUGGGCUUACGCCUGAACCAGCCAAGUCGCGUGAGGGAAGACUGCCCUAUGGGUUGUAAACCUCUUUUGUCAGGGAGCAACGCCGGCUACGUGUAGCCGGACUGAGCGUACCUGAAGACAAAGCAUCGGCUAACUCCGUGCCAGCAGCCGCGGUAAUACGGGGGAUGCGAGCGUUAUCCGGAUUUGUUGGGUUUACAGGGUGCGUAGGCGGAAUGCCAAGUCAGCGGGAAAAUCGCGGGGCUCAACCUCGCUCCGCCGUUGAAACUGGCGGUCUUGAGUGGGCGAGAAGGAUGCGGAAUGCGUGGUGUAGCGGUGAAAUGCAUAGAUAUCACGCAGAACUCCGAUUGCGAAGGCAGCAUACCGGCGCCCAACUGACGCUGAAGCACGAAAGCGUGGGGAUCGAACAGGAUUAGAUACCCGAGUAGUC
rnacentral:rRNA from 1 species